AAAGCUGCAAUAGUGGCGACCUCUUUAGCGGCGACUUCCAAAAAGUCGUCGCUAAAGGUCCUAUCCGUGUCCCCUGGUUUUAAUCAAUUCUUAGCCGUUCGAUCAUAAGCAAUCUAAGGGUUGGUGUUUUAUUAAAGCAUGUCGCUUGCUAAAAGGUUAUCAAAACCUUUGGGCGGGCAACAGAUUCACCAAUUCCCUCCCAAAUCACACCCAUAUUGUUCCCCGAACCCUCGAUUGACGCCGCGCCACCUCGCCGGACCACUCCUCUAGCGCCGCCGCCCCAUCAUCUCAACACUAUUGGACCACCAGAUAAUCUUGCAGGAAGAUUUCUUAUGCUUGGCUGGCAAAACAAUGGUCUGGAUUCACAAAGUACAACCGACACAUCAGCCGAGCCUCCAAUUGGUGUUUUCUUUGCAUAUGUUGCUCCUCGCUUACAACCAGAUACUACUCUAUUUCUUCCUUCCAAAAGAGUCAUGCUACUUGUGCAGUAGUUUAUGAGAAAACAUCAACAUGCCGUGUCCACAAAGGAGUAUGUUCGACCUGGAAGAAGCUUAGUUACAGGUAGUAGUAGAGGCUGUAGAAAGGUUGAAGCCGAGACCACAUGGGAAGCAAAUAGAAAAGAGACCUUCAGAGAAGCAGUUUGCGAGGCAUUAUUGAAGUUAUUCUAAGGCUAUGAAAGCAGUUUGCGACGCACUUUCGGCAUAUUUUAUAUUGGUUGAGGGACGGCGUGGCUUGUGGAAAGGAUAAAUGAAGAUGAAAAAAUGGAUACUGACUUAACACGCACUAAGGAUUAUUUUGACGAUUCGUUUGAAGACCCGAGAUUCAUGGAACGACUCUACCAAGGUGUGGAUAAGAAGAAGGGAUAAAGAAGCAACGAAAAUGACACGGACUAGGUAGAUUAGUGAUGUAUUUGCUUAGAAUUUAAGGGUUUCAAAACUUUAACUUAACCAAACAAAAUACUUUUGUUAUAGUUUUAUGUUUAAAAUUUGGUGUCUUAUGUUUACAA